GUGCUUGCUUUGGCAGCACAUAUUCUACAAUUUGAAUGGUACAGAGAAGAUUAGCCUGCCCCCGAUCUAUGAUGACAUGAAAAUUUGUGAAGUGUUCCAUACUUUU